GUUCUGCUACGGCGUUGGUGACUGCCAACAACGUUUUCUGAUCUAUGUUUUUCAUUUUACGGGUGUCAAGAUGCUAGAGCCGCAGUAUACCGGGCUUGCCCUCAUUGGGCUCGUACCCGGAAACUAUACGCUCUAGCCGCGAUUCCCUCCUGGUAACCCCAGGUCAAAAACUGAGGUAAGACGGCGCUGCGGUUGAACU
rnacentral:other from 1 species